rnacentral:rRNA from 1 species
CCUACGGGUGGCAGCAGUGGGGAAUAUUGGACAAUGGGCGAAAGCCUGAUCCAGCCAUGCCGCGUGUGUGAAGAAGGCCUUCGGGUUGUAAAGCACUUUCAGUGGGGAAGAAAGCCUUGGGGCUAAUACCCUCGAGGAAGGACAUCACCCACAGAAGAAGCACCGGCUAACUCCGUGCCAGCAGCCGCGGUAAUACGGAGGGUGCGAGCGUUAAUCGGAAUUACUGGGCGUAAAGCGCGCGUAGGCGGUCUGAUAAGCCGGUUGUGAAAGCCCCGGGCUCAACCUGGGAACGGCAUCCGGAACUGUCAGGGUAGAGUGCAGGAGAGGAAGGUAGAAUUCCCGGUGUAGCGGUGAAAUGCGUAGAGAUCGGGAGGAAUACCAGUGGCGAAGGCGGCCUUCUGGACUGACACUGACGCUGAGGUGCGAAAGCGUGGGUAGCAAACAGGAUUAGAUACCGGGUAGUC